AGAACGAACGCUGGCGGCGUGUUUAAGACAUGCAAGUCGCACGGAACCAAAUUGGUAGUAAUACUCGUUUGGUUCAGUGGCGCACGGGUGAGUAACACGUGAAUUACAUGCCCUUCAGUGGGGAAUAGCCCAGGGAAACUUGGAUUAAUACCCCAUGGUAUCGCAAGAUUAAAGGUGGCCAGCAAUGGCUGUACGCUGAAGGAUUGGUUCGCGCCCUAUCAGCUUGUUGGUGAGGUAACGGCUCACCAAGGCUACGACGGGUACCUGGUCUGAGAGGACGA
rnacentral:rRNA from 1 species